rnacentral:rRNA from 1 species
GACGAACGCUGGCGGCGUGCCUAAUACAUGCAAGUAGAACGCUGAAGAGAGGAGCUUGCUCUUCUUGGAUGAGUUGCGAACGGGUGAGUAACGCGUAGGUAACCUGCCUGGUAGCGGGGGAUAACUAUUGGAAACGAUAGCUAAUACCGCAUGAUAUUAAUUGUCGCAUGAUAAUUAAUUGAAAGAUGCAAUUGCAUCACUACCAGAUGGACCUGCGUUGUAUCAGCUAGUUGGUGAGGUAACGGCUCACCAAGGCGACGAUACAUAGCCGACCUGAGAGGGUGAUCGGCCACACUGGGACUGAGACACGGCCCAGACUCCUACGGGAGGCAGCAGUAGGGAAUCUUCGGCAAUGGGGGGAACCCUGACCGAGCAACGCCGCGUGAGUGAAGAAGGUUUUCGGAUCGUAAAGCUCUGUUGUAAGAGAAGAACGGGUGUGAGAGUGGAAAGUUCACACU